AGAUCAUGUUGAGAGCAAAUUCUAAGCAAUCCCUUGUAUCUCCCCUAAGCUUCAUACAAUGACUCCCCAACCUCUUGUUGAAAGCAGGUUGUCUUAUUCUUAAGCUU